rnacentral:lncRNA from 1 species
CUACAUUGUCUUGUAUUACAUGACAAUAACAAUGUAGGUGCUGACAGACAGGUGAUUCAUCUUCUUAAGAUACAACGUUGACACUUAGGGUAUUGAUAAACACAGUACGGUACUGUAAAUGUACUUUCCCUUCCUUAUGAUUUUCUUAAUAACACAUUCUUUUCUUUAGCUUACUUCAUUGUAAGAACACAGGAUAUAACACAUAUGACAUCCAAAAUAUGUGUUAAUCAACCAUUUAUGUUGCCGGUGAAGCUUCUGGUCCACAGUAGGGUAUUAGCAGCUGUGUUUUGGGGGCAUCAAAAGUUCUAUUUAGAUUUCCAACUGUGCGAGGGGGUCAGUGCCCCUAACGCCUGCAUUGUUCAGGGGUCAACUGUAUUUCCUACUUCUCUUACUUUACAGGUAUCUUUCAAAUCUUCAUCCCUGUUCUUUGGGUGCAAAAUCAAGGACAAGAGAGAUGCUUCAUUUAUAAUUUAGUAGCACUUGGAGGACUUGGCUUGCCGCAUUUGCUAUUAGUUACUCCUUUAACACUACACUGUUUCAUUUAAGCAUUUAAAAACGUGUGGUUCCAUUCUACCCUUUGAUUUUUUUUCAUCAGAAGUUAAAAGGAAGCUGUCUCCCUCACACAGUCGUAGGACACAGUUGGGUGUGUGUAUUACUGCCGCACAGAAUGGAUGCAGCGCAUACGUUUCUGGCUGAGAAGUACCCUAGAAUAUGGAAUUCCCUGAUGAUUGCAAGGAUGUGGAGUAUUCUUUGGAGGACUGCCUCACAUAUUUAAUGUAUAGCUUGUUCUGUCUGGGGACUGCUCCUCAGAACUCUGCCAUCUGUAGUGGGUGGCAACUCAGUCUCAGCCUUGAAGAAUUCAUCUGUUAAUUUUCUUUCUUUCUUUGACUUGAUGACACCAUUGUGGUUACUUCUCCUCCCUCUCCAAUCAAUAACCUCUCAUUUUCCAUUAUUACAUCUUAAGUAUAUUGCCGUGGUUGCAAGCUGUUACAUUUCCAUUUUGGAAGUAGGAUGGCUGGAAAAAUCUGUCUGGAAAACAUCGUAGGAGUUCAAAUUCUCCAGACAGGGUGGUCUUUCAGAUGAGUUACUGCUUUGAUGCAAGAGCAGCCCCACCUGCCUAUGUUUAUUAGCUGAGCUCACCUGGCGAUGUCAUCAAUUUAUCGACAAAGACCCUGGCACUUGGGCGUGAAGUCACCUGCCCCCAUAGGGCCGAUGUAGCUCUCAGAGUCCUGCGGUCUGACUCUGUUCUUCCCUGUUACUUCUUCUUCUGCUUUAAUAAUUAUUUUUAUUUUUUCCUUUAUAGCUGUUUUACAAUGUUCUGUCAAUUUUCUACUGUACAGCAAGGUAACCCAGUUACCUUGUAUACUUUCUUUUUUCUCAAGCUUACAUACGAAAGAAUAUUAGGGGACUUUAAAAGCAGAGUCUUAUUUCUAUUUAGCUGGCAGGAGAGGUAUGCUUGACCCUCAGUAAAAACCAUCCAGAAUUUUCUAUCUGGGUCUUCAUCUAACCGUUGGAGUGGCUGACAGGCCUCAUACAACAUCUGGACUUGAAGUCACGACUGGGUCUUUUGGGAAGUGGCAGAAAGCUGGAGGGUGAUAUUCUGUUUCUGAGGGCUCAUGUUUUUAAUGCCUUGGUUGAUCUUUAAUGGACACCAUUUUUUUGAGGGAGGGAAGGGAGAUGUGCUUGCCUUUGACAUACAUUUUUAAUUUAGAAAAGGAAUAGCCUGUAUUUGAAAAGUUGUAUGGGAGUCUUUCUUGAGAAAAAAAAUGGAAAUGUCUAGGCCACAUGUUCUAAAUUGGAGGAAGAAUGUGGCUUACGAUUGCUUGGCUGGGGGGGAUUGGGCAAACUUGGGACCAGACGGUGGCGGAAUCUUGCCUGGCACUACCCCUGGGUAAGCCCAGCAUGGCAAGCAAUCUCUCCAUAAUGGUUUGGGCUCAGGUUGGUGGUGGGAGGCCAGGCACAGGGCAGUGGGAUGAGCUUCUCUUUCCUGCAGCCUCCUCGCUGGCCUGCAUCUUGGCCCAGAAAGGCAGAGGUGGCCCUGAGCUGGUGAAUGUGGUGGGAAAGAGUGGGAAAAACUAGAUCCUGGGCCACUUAUACAUCCUUUCAGGGAGCUGUGUCUCUGGGCAGCUCGAUUUAAAAUGCAUGUUGGGGGGGAGUUCCCGUCGUGGCGCAGUGGUUAAUAAAUCCGACUAGGAACCAUGAGGGUUCAAUCCCUGGCCUUGCUCAGUGGGUUAAGGAUCCGGUGUUGCCAUGAGCUGUGGUGUAGGUUGCAGACACGGCUUGGAUCCUGCCUUGCUGUGACUCUGGCAUAGGCGGCUACAAGUCCAAUUUGACCCCUAGCCUGGGAACCUCUAUAUGCUGUGGGAAGCGGCCCUAGAAAAGGCAAAAAGACCAAAAAAAAUUAAUGAUAAUAAAAUAAAAUGCACAUUGGGGAGUUCCUGUGGUGGCUCAGCGGGUUAAGAACCUGACUUGUAUCCUUGAGGAUGCAGGUUCCAUCCCUGGCCUUGCUCAGUGGGUCAGGGAUCCAGCAUUGCCCAUGAGCUGUGGUGUACGUUGGUGAUGCGGCUUGGGUCCAGGGUUGCUGUGGCUGUGGUAGAGGCCUGCAGCUAUAGCUCCAGUUUGAUCCCUAGCCUGGGAACUUCCAUGUACUGCAGGUACAGCCCUAAAAAGACAAAAACAAACAAACAAACAAAGAAAACAAACAAAAAACAGAAAUUCACAUUGGGGUUUAUUUUCCUCGGACCAGGUGCAUUAUUAUACUUCUUUUACAACAAAGGAAACUCCUUCGCCGGAGAUGGUGCCCCAGAGAAAUGGAUUGAACUGAAUUCUGCGGUAGGAAGAGCACCAAUCUUAUAGGCGUCCUUUGCUUCUUUCCUUCUGUCUUCCUCCCUCACCCUCACCCCCUUCAAGUCUAUUCUGUUAAUCUAUUGAUGUUGCCUUCAUAGGGUUUGACUGUGGGUUUCCAACUGCCCCUAGGGCACUCACAGACCUUUCUCGUUGUGAAACCAAAAACCACUCUCCCCGUCCUUCUGGCUCAUCCUGACUGCUCCUGUUGAAACACCUUGAAAUCCUCAGGCUUGUGAGGCCUCAGGUGGUUACUGAUCUUCAGCAUCUCAGAUAUCUGUAGAGGGAGCAUGAUCGUAGUACCUGGGAGUUGGGUUCUUUCGAGUUUUAGAUGAGUAUGUAAAGCUCUUCCAAACAGGCCAGAUAUAAGUAGGGGUUUUACUGUACAUACAGUGUUUUUGUUUGUUUGUUUGUUUUUCUUUUCUUUUCUGGCCACCCCAUGGCACGUGGAGUUCCUGGGCCAGGGAUCAGAUCCACAGCUGUGACCUAAGCUGCAACUGUGGCAAUGGCUGGGUCCUUAACCCACUAUACCAGGCUGGGAUUGAACCUGUGUCCCAGUGCUCCCAAGGUACUCCUGAUCUCGUUGUACCGCAUUGGGAACUCCCAGUGUUAGCUGUUUUUGUUCUUACUGUUCCUGCUCAUUCCCUCACUCAUGACCAAAACUCUCAAAUGCCGGGCAUCGGUUCCCCAGGAGCAUCUCGUGUGGCCUGAGUCUGGCCUCCCUUGGCCUGUGUCCCCCACCCCCCGCAUAGUCAUCUAUUCCAGCAGCUGGCCUGGCUGGGGGGCCCUCCUUCCUCUUAGAACUACAUUGUCCUUCUCAUCUGGGCUUCUUUCCUCUCGCUUUCCUUCCCCUAUUGUUGUGAUUAAUCCUCUAGCCCAUUUCUCCAGUUUCUGGGCUUGAACAAGUCCCCCUUGUCUGCUUCUCUUCCCCCUUGGUUGCCUCCAGCUCUCUUCCCCAUCCCUCCCUGUCUUUCUUCUGCUUUUUUCCUCCACCUUCCAUCUCCCCCAAUUCCCACCCCAUGUUUCCUUAUUAAAACAACUUAAACCUUGGGAGAAAGGUUGCAGUUUUAUCAUAUUCCUAGUGGUCUAGCAUACAGCAGGAGUGUGUGACCACCAGUGAGACUGAAAAUUUAUAGUAGCAAGAAUAGUAGGUUGAGAGGACCCGAAGGUACCUCAUCCUGACAAAUGUGCAAAGUAGAGGGUAAUAGAGUUUAUGAAACCUGCGUUGCUUCACAUAAUUCAAUGGUGGAGGGGCAGGAGUUAGAGGAAAAGGAUGAACAGAAGUACUUAGGGUAGAAACCUGCAGCAUGUAGUUUUUGCUUAAUGAUGCCAAAGAAAUUUCCUCUUCAUUUUUAUGGAAAAAACGUAUUUUAAAUUCUAGAAACUUCUACCUGCCUGUCUCUUUCGAUGUGUGCAUGUAUGUGUGUGAGUAUGUGUGAUGUGCGUUUGUAUUUUAAAACACAGUCAUUUACUAUGAAACUGCGGCAGUUAAAUAGUAUAUGUUGUCACUGCAAGGGAGAUAUUUUAAUACUACAUAUUUAACUGUUCUCAUGAAACACAAUCUACCGUUUUUGAAUAUGUUCCUUCCCUUUUGUGGCUUUUCACUCAUUUUACUCCAAAUUCCCUGUAAAUCUUACUAAGAAUGAAGGUAAAUUAAACAAGGCCCUGGUGUUUUGAUAGAUUUCUUCAAGAUCUGGUUCCCAGCUUUUAUUUACUCCUGGGUUUGUCUGAUAAAACCCUGGCAUGCUUAAAAAUUUUUUUUUUAAACUUCAUCUAAUAAUUGAUGAGACACUGAUGUUUGCAAUUGCACCAUAUCCAGAAUUGCAAGCGUAAGAAAAAAAUAAGGCUACAGGAGCAUUUUCCUUUAACAUGUUGGGUAAUAAUUCUUUCUUUUUGAAGUGAGUGGUGGCCUCUCUAGGAAGGAAACGGUGUUUCUCUGUGAGGCCAGGGCGAGGUCUCUUGGCUCCAAGAACAGAUGCUUACAAAUGAGCUCGUUGGCCUCCCCAGAUACUAGGAGAGGACUGAGGGUAAAUACAUACAGUCCCCCUUUUCCAACUGUCACCUUCCUUUCUGCCUUCAGUGCCCAUUGAUGUUGAGCAGGUGAGAGUGGAUAAAUAAUUUAUAUCAUAGUAUCCGCUUCAUCAGAAAUCCGUAAAGAUUUCUUGAAGGGUUUAGAUCUAAAAAUCUUUCUGAAUUAAGCCCUAAAUUAUUAAUAUUGUGAAACUAGGGUCUCUUUCUUGCCUGUGCUGUGUAUGCUGCUAUAUUUUGAAACGGAACGAUUCGUGGACCCCUCCACCUAUUGUUCCUCUUUUUUGGUCUAAUGCAGACAGCACAGAGGAAAUGGAAAGUUCUCAGCAUUUUUACAACCACUGCUAGAUGUCUUUUAUGGGCCUGAUAAAUUCAGUAGACAAAAUCAAAGUAGUUAGUCUCUUGGGCUUUAGUGUUCUCAUCUGUAAAAUCAGGAGAUGCACUGAAGAUUCUUUCUAGCUUUAGAUUGUGUAAUUCUUUCUUUCAGAAUUUGUGUGGAGUUUAUAACAUUGAUGGGAACUAAAGUUUAGGCCAGUAAAACAAGACAGAAAUCAGGUUCUCAGACACAGGGUGAUUUUUUCAGCCUAGUGUCUGCCAGUCCAAGCCUUGUUAUAACCACAGUGUGGCAAGAUCUGAUGUCCUAUUAUUAUUUCUUUCACUUGAGAAUGCUUCAGCUGCCGAGAUCUAUCAUAGAAGUUGUUACACUGUGAGUUUCCCCAUAUCCAUCAGAAGAAGAAAAUCCAUCAUGCUUUUGACUAGUUUUUCCUCUCCAAGAAAAUGAUGUUUAAGAGAAUGACAUGUAAUAUAGACUUAACUAUUCUUAAGGCAUUGAAGAAACUGCAUCUGAAAUAAAAUCAAUACAUGAUGCAGUAGUUUAUUUACAUUUAAAAUAUUGAAUGGCAAAGCGUUUUAUCAAAGACUUUGGGACCAAAUAUGCAUUCUAGAGCUACACAGAGUCAAAAGGAUAAAAGGUAGAAGAGAAAGCGGCAGAGUUACUGUGUAGUUGUGGUACAAUUACUCUGUGUAUCUCAACUACACUAACAACAGAAAUGUAGAUAUUAGGGUUGGUAUGUUUAGAGAUUUUUAAAUUUCAUCCUAUAAUAUUGAUUCAAGUUAUAAUAGUUACCAGGCAACUAAGAGGAACAAAAGCACAGUCUUACCCUUCAUAUUUCUAGUUUUAUUUUGCAUUGCAUUCUGUUUUAUAGGUAGGUGAAUAAAUUAUGUGUUGCUGUUACACCUUUUUAGAUAAGUCCUUUUUUUUAAUGUUCUGUAGCAGUUUAUAUAGCAUGGAAAUUACUCGUCCUUGAAAUUCAAAAUAAUUGGCCAAUAAAAUUGAAUGGGCACUGAGGUUUUUUUUUUAAUUGGUGUAAAUUACUUUAUGCAUUUCUUAAUUUCUUCUAUUUACUGGUUUCUUUUGAGAAUUGAAAUCUGUAUAGAGAACCAUCAGUUACUUUAAGAUUUUAAAAUUUUACCAUGAAUCAUUUUGCAAUAUGUGUAUGUAUUGAAUCAUUGGAUUGUGUUAAAUUUGCUCAAUGUUACGUGUCAAUUAUAUCUUAGUAAAGCUGGAAAAAAAGACCAGAAUUUGUCAGGAAAUUUUACAUUAGGUAACUGUAAUUUACUUAAUAAAAAUUUAGACAGUUUUUUUCUGAUUUUAUUUGUGUUUUCUCUUUUUCUUUGAUUAGAUCUGUUUAUUCUCCCCUCCACAAAAUCUAGCUCUUGGAUUCCUUUAUUUAUGCUGAUGCUUUUUGGUUUUCUGUUUACUUUUUGAUGGGAUCCUUAAUCUUCUCCUCCAGCUUUCCUAUUGUAUGUAUUUCAGUGGCUCCCAUUCUGAUAUAAGGAGGUCGACCUGAAACUCACCUGCCUGACACCCCCCCCCCCCCCCGCCCCCGCACUGGCCUCUUCUGUGGCUCUUGGUCUCCAUUCUCAUGAGGAAGGAUGUGAGAAUUCGUGGGCCUGUGUGUCUCUCUGGCUCUUCCUGUACAUUUUGCAUCACCUGGCUUCAACUCUCAGCACCAUUGCUGCUCCUAGGCUCAUAGUUUACAGCCGUUGUCACAGUGCUGGGUUCAAAAAGGGCAUGCCCUCCCCUUUAUCACCCUAGUCUGAGCUUGGAUGGAGACCCCUCCCCUAGUUCCUCAAAGAUUUCUAAAUUGAGGCUAUAACAUUUAACAUGACUUGAUCAAAGUUUAGGCUAAUUGGAGAGAACUGUAGCCCAGAAUUAGCUGCAAGAUAUGACGAUUAUGGGGCUUCACGUGAGGUUGGAUUUUAGGCUUGAUGUGUCUCCAUGGGGUGGAAGUCAGUGUUCUCCACCAUCCUUGUACCUAUAAGUGAAUCUAUCCACUUGAGAGUUCAGGCCAAAGUCUCCCUCGAAUUAGAGAAAAAAAGGGAGUUUUAUUCUCAGCCUAAGACCUUUCUUUCUUGAUUUCCCCUUUUAGGAUCUACCUCUUCCCAGGAUGACUGAUGGAAAGAAUAUUCAGUUCCAUCAAAGGAACCAUCCAGCUUACCCAGAGUGUUAGUCCCUUAACCUAUAGCAGCUCUAGCCAGACAACCACAGAACCCAGUGGUCCAGACAUUUUUAGCUUUGUGGACACAGGCUUUGAGUCAUCUGUGAACACUAUGAAACUGUGUGUAAAAUUUUUUUCUGGGGAGCAGAUUUACAGCAUUUAUCAGAUUAUUACAAUGAUCUGGCAUCUCCCCUAAAGAUUAAGAAUCACUUCAGGCGUUCCAUUUGUGGCUCAGUGGUUAACGAAUCCAACUAGGAACCAUGAGGUUGCGGGUUGGAUCCCUGGCCUUGCUCAGUGGGUUGAGGAUCCGACGUUGCCAUGAGCUGUGGUGUAGGUUGCAGACACGACUUGGAUCCUGUGUUGUUGUGGCUCUGGCGUAGGCUGGCGGCUAUAGCUCCGAUUAGACCCCUAGCCUGGGAACCUCCACAUGCCUCGGGAGUUGGUCCAAGAAAUGGCAAAAAGACA